rnacentral:rRNA from 1 species
GAUGAACGCUAGCGGCAGGCUUAAUACAUGCAAGUCGAGGGGUAGCAAGAUUGUAGCAAUACAAUUGUUGACGACCGGCAAAUGGGUGCGGAACACGUACACAACCUUCCUACAAGUGGGGAAUAGCCCAGAGAAAUUUGGAUUAAUACCCCGUAACAUAGCGAUGUGGCAUCACAUUGCUAUUAUAGCUUCGGCGCUUGUUGAUGGGUGUGCGGCUGAUUAGAUAGUUGGCGGGGUAACGGCCCACCAAGUCUACGAUCAGUAGCUGAUGUGAGGGCAUGAUCAGCCACACGGGCACUGAGACACGGGCCCGACUCCUACGGGAGGCAGCAGUAAGGAAUAUUGGACAAUGGACGCAAGUCUGAUCCAGCCAUGCCGCGUGAAGGAUUAAGGUCCUCUGGAUUGUAAACUUCUUUUAUAAGGGACGAAAAAAGGUCUUUCUAGAUCGUCUGACGGUACCUUAUGAAUAAGCACCGGCUAACUCCGUGCCAGCCGCCGCGGUAACAC